UACCUGACCUAGCGGCGGACGGGUGAGUAAUGCUUAGGAAUCUGCCUAUUAGUGGGGGACAACAUUCCGAAAGGAAUGCUAAUACCGCAUACGCCCUACGGGGGAAAGCAGGGGAUCUUCGGACCUUGCGCUAAUAGAUGAGCCUAAGUCAGAUUAGCUAGUUGGUGGGGUAAAGGCCUACCAAGGCGACGAUCUGUAGCGGGUCUGAGAGGAUGAUCCGCCACACUGGGACUGAGACACGGCCCAGACUCCUACGGGAGGCAGCAGUGGGGAAUAUUGGACAAUGGGCGAAAGCCUGAUCCAGCCAUGCCGCGUGUGUGAAGAAGGCCUUUUGGUUGUAAAGCACUUUAAGCGAGGAGGAGGCUACUUGGAUUAAUACUCUAGGAUAGUGGACGUUACUCGCAGAAUAAGCACCGGCUAACUCUGUGCCAGCAGCCGCGGUAAUACAGAGGGUGCGAGCGUUAAUCGGAUUUACUGGGCGUAAAGCGUGCGUAGGCGGCUUCUUAAGUCGGAUGUGAAAUCCCUGAGCUUAACUUAGGAAUUGCAUUCGAUACUGGGAAGCUAGAGUAUGGGAGAGGAUGGUAGAAUUCCAGGUGUAGCGGUGAAAUGCGUAGAGAUCUGGAGGAAUACCGAUGGCGAAGGCAGCCAUCUGGCCUAAUACUGACGCUGAGGUANGAAAGCAUGGGGAGCAAACAGGAUUAGAUACCCUGGUAGUCCAUGCCGUAAACGAUGUCUACUAGCCGUUGGGGCCUUUGAGGCUUUAGUGGCGCAGCUAACGCGAUAAGUAGACCGCCUGGGGAGUACGGUCGCAAGACUAAAACUCAAAUGAAUUGACGGGGGCCCGCACAAGCGGUGGAGCAUGUGGUUUAAUUCGAUGCAACGCGAAGAACCUUACCUGGUCUUGACAUAGUAAGAACUUUCCAGAGAUGGAUUGGUGCCUUCGGGAACUUACAUACAGGUGCUGCAUGGCUGUCGUCAGCUCGUGUCGUGAGAUGUUGGGUUAAGUCCCGCAACGAGCGCAACCCUUUUCCUUAUUUGCCAGCGGGUUAAGCCGGGAACUUUAAGGAUACUGCCAGUGACAAACUGGAGGAAGGCGGGGACGACGUCAAGUCAUCAUGGCCCUUACGACCAGGGCUACACACGUGCUACAAUGGUCGGUACAAAGGGUUGCUACCUAGCGAUAGGAUGCUAAUCUCAAAAAGCCGAUCGUAGUCCGGAUUGGAGUCUGCAACUCGACUCCAUGAAGUCG
rnacentral:rRNA from 1 species